rnacentral:rRNA from 1 species
GAUCUAGCCAUGCCGCGUGAGUGAUGAAGGCCUUAGGGUCGUAAAGCUCUUUCGCCUGUGAUGAUAAUGACAGUAGCAGGUAAAGAAACCCCGGCUAACUCCGUGCCAGCAGCCGCGGUAAUACGGAGGGGGUUAGCGUUGUUCGGAAUUACUGGGCGUAAAGCGCGCGUAGGCGGAUUAGAAAGUUGGGGGUGAAAUCCCGGGGCUCAACCUCGGAACUGCCUCCAAAACUGCUAGUCUAGAGUUCGAGAGAGGUGAGUGGAAUUCCGAGUGUAGAGGUGAAAUUCGUAGAUAUUCGGAGGAACACCAGUGGCGAAGGCGGCUCACUGGCUCGAUACUGACGCUGAGGUGCGAAAGUGUGGGGAGCAAACAGGAUUAGAUACCCUGGUAGUCCACACCGUAAACGAUGAAUGCCAGUCGUCGGGUAGUAUACUAUUCGGUGACACACCUAACGGAUUAAGCAUUCCGCCUGGGGAGUACGGUCGCAAGAUUAAAACUCAAAGGAAUUGACGGGG